ACUUAAAUUGAAGAGUUUGAUCAUGGCUCAGAUUGAACGCUGGCGGCAGGCCUAACACAUGCAAGUCGAGCGGUAGCACAGAGAGCUUGCUCUCGGGUGACGAGCGGCGGACGGGUGAGUAAUGUCUGGGAAACUGCCUGAUGGAGGGGGAUAA
rnacentral:rRNA from 1 species